UACGGGGGGGGGCAAGCGUUUGUUCGGAAUUACUGGGCGUAAAGGGCGCGUAGGCGGCCUUCUAAGUCGGACGUGAAAUCCCUCGGCUUAACCGAGGAACUGCGUCCGAUACUGAAAGGCUUGAAUCCGGGAGAGGGAUGUGGAAUUCCAGGUGUAGCGGUGAAAUGCGCAGAUAUCAGGAAGAACACCUAUGGCGAAGGCAGCUCUCUGGGACGGUACUGACGCUGAGACGCGAAAGCGUGGGGAGCGAACAGG
rnacentral:rRNA from 1 species